rnacentral:rRNA from 1 species
AGCUCCAAUAGCGUAUAUUAAUAUUGCUGCAGUUAAAAAGCUCGUAGUUGGAUUUCUGGCGUGCCACGCCUGGCCCGCUACAUUACGUGGUGAGUGCCGGGUCGUGGCUGCCAUCCUUCCAGAGAGUGUGUCUACCCUUCACUGGGCUGGGCACAGGAUCUGGAUCUUUUACUUUGAAAAAAUUAGAGUGUUUAAAGCAGGCUUUUGCAAUGAAUACAUUAGCAUGGAAUAAUAAUCUAGGACUUCGGUCCUAUUUUGUUGGUUUCUAGGACUGAAGUAAUGAUUGAUAGGGAUAGUUGGGGGUGCUCGUAUUCAGUGGCCAGAGGUGAAAUUCUUGGAUUCACUGAAGACGAACUUAUGCGAAAGCAUUCACCAAGGAUGUCUUCU